GAAUUAUGCAACAUGGAUAGCUUUUUUCCACUUUUCCUCAGCCUAUCAAGAAGUCAAAAAAGUGACUGAAUUCACUUCUGGGGUCUGCACCAUUGUAUAAAAGGAAUAGACAACAUGCAAAACCAGCACAACAAUUGGAGCAAGGAAUAGCAACCAGAACUUCUCCAGAGCUUCAAAGCAAAAUGCUUGCCAUCUACCUACUUCUACUCAGCUCUUCUGUGACUGCACUUGAAAUGUGCCCUGAACAAAUACUUCAUGAAAUUAAGAACAGUAUUUACGCACUGAAGAAUUUGACAUAUUCAACACAGCUGUCAACUCCGAUCGUGUUUGGGGUAUGCAAA